AACAGCCCCUAAAAGGUAAAAAAUUAAGUCGUAACUGGAUCCGCGCAAUCGGUGAAACGUAAUAUUAUUCUUAUGAAAACAAAUAAUAUAUAUACUAGAGCUAGGCUGGUAUACUAUCGGUAGCACGGAGGCAUUCGUGCUACCAAGUUGUUUUUAAUGUUGCGGUUUUCAAAUCGACGAUCGGCUCCAUUAGACUUGAUCUACAUUAUUGAAAAUAUUUGAAAACUAAAUUUCAUAAUUUUUCGGUAUCAUUUACCUAUCAAACGAAUAGUCUAAAAUGAACGGCUGAAAAUAAAAAUCUCAUAAAAAAUAAUGAUAAAAGACUUGAAUUUAAGAUGAGAUGUGAUGAUUUUACUCUAAAUAGUGAAAAAAAAAUCUAUAAAAAUUUUACCAUAUUUGAAUUGUUUUACACUGUUAAACUCACAAACGCAUCACAUCUAUCAUUAAAAUUGUCAAUUUUGAGACAUUUUGAUCACUAGCCAAAUGAUGUCGAAAAAUUAUGAAAUUUAGUUUGCAAAUAUUUUUAAUAGUGUAGAUCAAGUCUAACGGAGCCGAUCGUCGAUUUGGAAGCCGCAUCAUUGAAAACAACUUGGUAGCACGGAGGCUUCCGUGCUACCGAUAGUAUACCAGCCUAGCUCAUGUAUACUAUACUAUUUAUUGCACUUUCUUGGAGCAUGUAAAUGUCGAGGAAAUGUCUAAGUUGCUAAGUUUAUGUUUAUCUUAUAAUCCUUCUCACAAGUUAUGAAAAACCAAGAGAUACCAAACCAAACAUAAAUGCCAUCAAGUAAGAAACAGAAGAGCUGCUAAAAAUUCAAGUAAUUAAACAUCUAAAACAUAAAUACAAAAACACUUGUGAUUGAUAAUUACCACAGUUGCAAUAUGCCAGAAACAUGAGACAACACUUAUUCCAGAGUUCAAAACCAGAAUAACACUGGCUUAUAUAUAUUUAAAAAUGUUUUAAAAAAGAGAGAGCCAAAGGGUUCAUUAUCUCAAGCAUGCAAAAAGGGGUCUUAAGAAGGAAAACAUAUUCACCUACUCAACAUAGUGAUGGUGUAGGUAGGCUAAGUAAGAUCAACCGACAAUCAGCUUGUUCUCAUCCACGAAGGUGUAGGUGGGUACCUCCAAGUUGUACGGCGCGGGGCCCUUCCGGAUCCUUCCGGAAAUGUCGUAGUGCGAGCCAUGGCAGGGGCAGAACCAGCCUCCAAAGUCGCCCGCGUUGGGGAGCGGGAUGCAGCCGAGGUGAGUGCACACGCCGACGACGAUGAGCCACUCGGGAUUCUUCACCCGCUCUGCGUCCGGCUGCGGGUCCCGAAGGGACUGCAGGUCGACGGUGUUCGCGAGCUUGAUGUCUUCCUCGGUGCGGCGGCGGAUGAAGACGGGCUUGCCCCGCCACUUGACGGUGACGGUGGCCCCAGGCUCGAUGUUGGAGAGGUCGACUUCGAGGGAGGCGAGGGCGAGCACAUCCUUGGUGGCGGACAUGCUCAGGACGAACUUGAGGAUGAGGAGGCGGAGGAGGGAGGCGUAGACGAAGCGGCCACCGGUGAGGACGAAGUAGGCAAAGGCGCGCUUGCUGGGAUCGCCGGGAGGGUACCGCUCGUGGUUGUGCUCGUCGUAAGUGAUUUUGGAACUAGGAUUCUUCACAGCUGCCACAGUUGCUGGGAGGUCGGCCAGGCCGAGGUCCCCCCCAUGCCUUGGGACAAGGGUUUCAGUGGCAAAGCCUGCAGCUAAUAGUCAGUAUUUACAACAGAGAACUAUCUCAAAAAGAUGGAGAACUAAAAUUGUUGCCCGAUGUCAUUUAAAAGAAUGAACUCUUCCUAUUCAGCGGAAUCAAUUAUGAUUUGAAGAGCUAAAUCAGGUUAAAAAGUAAACUACGAAAAGAUAAAACCAAGAUUAUAGGAUCUCAUCGCAAAACUUGACCAGCUAAAAAGUUUUUAAUAGAUGUGGUCAAGCAAAAUCUUAGAUAACCCUUUCACUUCCAUAUGUACAUCAACUUUCCUAACUAAAUGAGAACAAAUGCAUUUAAAAACUGCAAGCUGGCAAAAAUAAGCUCUAUCUUCGCAAUUAGGCUUCCAUGUUUGUUAAAAGUAGUUAGUUCUUCAUGGAUAAAUAUUGAGACAUCAGGUCAUUACCCAUCUUUUUGCUGAGUUGGAAAUAGCUAAUAAGAUUUCAUUGCCGUACAACAUGGGAAUUUUGAAUACAAUAGCUUUUUAUUAUAUGAGAGAUAAAGCUAUCAACAAUGAGAAAGUACAAAGAAAACAAUUUUCUAAGACGAAAAAUAGACCAUAAUAUAGUACAUGCCUCCAAGAGGAAAUCAUACAACUCCCAGAAUCAAACUUUCUCGAUGCGACAUGCUAAUCACCAUAAUCCAAAAAUAAGCAUGUUCUACCACAGCGUCCAUGACUGUCUAGAACAGAACAUUUCAUAUUUGUAAUGAAUAAAUCAUAUUUCUAAUAAACAUAAAACAAGUUGUUCAAACAAUAAAAGAGGAAACAGCUUCAAGCGAAACGUCGAGUUGGGAAGAAUCAGGCAUCCGGGCAUUUUGUCUUACACAUUGACACUUACACAUUGACAUAUAAUAAUUACUAUGACAAUGCCCUUGGUUAGUUUGCAUUGAUACAAAUUUUCAUGCUAUGCUCAAAAGCUGAGUAAGUCAUCAUAUACUAUCAUAUAUAUAUAUCUAAUUUUGGAAGCAUGGUUCCAAUUGAACCAUAAGAUGCCACGUGGCGCACUUACAUGAAAAGUUCUAAUGUACCACGUGGCGCACUUAUCAUAAUAUAUAUUUUUUAAACUUAUCAUAAUAUAUUUUUUAGUUCACAAAUAUUUUAUAUAUAUAUAUAUAUAUAUAUAUUAUCAUUAUCAUGCGCACUUAUCAUAAGCAUAACUACACGUACCAAAAAAUAACUGCACAGCAGUUUUUUUUUUCCUUAACCGUAUGACAGUUAUUUUUUUUUGUAAACUGCACAACAGUUAUUUUUUUUUUCUUAACCAAACAACAGUUAUUUUUUCCCUAAACCACACAACAGUUUUUUUUUUUUUUUAACCGCACAACAGUUAUUUUUUUUUCCCUUUUUUCUUUGAUUGUGAGGUAUAUUCAUCUUUCACAGUUAAUAUCUAAAACGUUACAAAUUUUAUCAUCCAUAUAUAUGUAUUACAAGUGAAUGCCAUUAUUUUAUUAAUAUUAUCAUCCAUAUGUAUGAUAGAUGGAGACAGACUUAUUUUCUAUCUUUAUGCACCAUCUUUCUACAAAAGGCAAGUUUAUUCAAAAUUUGAAAAUAAUUACGUGUAAUGAUUUGGUCUGUUUGUAAUGUAUAUAUUAUCUUCUCUUUUUUUUUUCAGGAUACAUAUCACUAUCUUUGGAUUUCGUCAUAGUAUUGAAAUUUUCAGAGCGCAUAAAUAUUUGCCCCUAUCCCAAGAAAUACUCAAUAAUUACUUUUGGGAGGUAUGUUUGAUAUUUAUAUUUAAGUUUUUGAUUGAUUUGUUGAAAAUAAUUGAUAAACAUACAUGACUAAUUAUUCACAAUAACAAGAACUUUUUAGUUUAAAGAAAUCAUAAUAUGAAUCAUGCUUCACAAGUUCUAAAAAAUUACUUUCCAAAUUUAGUCACUUAAAAUUCUUCAAAAAAUAAGUUUACAAAAUUAGUCAUAAAGAAUUUGAAAUAAGAUUAAUUAUAUAUAAAUAAUAAUUAUGUUAAAUUUCUAAUGGAUUUGAACCUUUUUACUUCUUCAUUUUAAAAUCUUUUUAUUUUAAAUUAUUUACUUACAUUCUAUUAGUAUAUCAUGAUAGUAUUAUUUUAAUUUGAUUCAAUAAUUUUUCUAAUAAUAAAAGCUUAAUAUGAAAAAAUUAAUAUAUAUUAUAUAAAAGUUGUCAUAAAAAGAUAUUAAAAAAACUUAAUAUGUAAAAAUUAAUAUUAUAUAUUAUAUAAAAGAUGUAAUUAAAAGAUAAAAUUAAAAUCCGUGCAUUGCACGGGUUAGUUGCUAGUUUAAACAAAAAGCAAAGCACAUGUACUUUGAACUAGAGCUACAGUAAGGGAAAUUAGAAAGAUGAGCAAUAUUCACUAAGUUGCAACAAUCCAGGAUAAUUAUGCAUUCUAUUUUAACAAAAAGCAAAACACAUUUCACUUUGAAGUAAAACUACAGCUAGGGGAAUUUGAAAACAAGUAAAAUUCACUAAUUUGCAAGAACAUAUAUAUGAAAUAAAGGUUAUGAGUGAUCAUCUACAAUGAUCGGUCAUAAAUGCAAUAAUGUCAACUCAAGCACUAGAAGCAUGUGCUCGGUUAGAUCUAUCUUAAUAGCAGCUGUAACAACUACAAAGGAAAAAGAUUUUGUGCAUCCAGCAUAACGUUGACAGUUGAGUCGAUUGAAUCAAAUGAUGAAACAUCAUAUGCCGUCCAUUUCAUAUUCUGCGGUUAUUCCGAAGUUAAGAUCCGGACCAAAUCCAUUUUAUUUGGAACGGCUCUAAUGAGUGUAACUCAACAUUUAGGGAGCUUCUCCACAACGUGAAACAAUCUUUGCAAGUAAUAAUGUAAAAUAUUGUUUAACCGAUGAAAAUCAGUUUAUGCCUGAUGUCACACCUGUCCUUUAUAUUUCCUUUUUUUUCUUUUACUGUUCUCAUAAGGAUCUAGAAUUUAAUUUAAAUAACGUGAAAUUGAAUCAAGAUGACAUUUUAUGCGUGAACUAAAUUCAUAUGAUAAAAACUUGAGCGUUAAUGGCUCACCCAGAGGGACUUAUGCGCGAAAGUUCAAGCUAAUCUGAUAAUCGGACUUAUGGGUGAGUGGAAAUCAACUUACAUAAAUCAAGCUGCAAGGUAUUGAAUCCACAGGGGCUUCAUAUGAAAACAUGGAAAAUGUUGGGAAAAUUAGAAAACAAACCCAACCAUAUGAAGGAGCGGGUUUGCGCUUAUGUCCAAUUAGGGUAAAUUUAGGAUUUUGGAUUUCUCUCUAUUCAAUUAGAUUAUGCUUUGGUAGGGAUUAACACAGUAAAUGAGAUGAAGGAAAAUGAAAGAUGUAAGUGACACAGCACAUAUGCCAUCAACUACAACAACAAACCAUUUCUGAACGAAGAUGAACAAAAGCAUGGGCAAAUUUACCAAUACUAUGCGUGAGCACAUAUUUACCAUUUCUCAGCAACGGAUUAGAGAUUCUUAUUCAAAUUACUGGAACAAAGUGGCAUAUUACGCGGUUCGUGAACUACAUGCAUAAAUUAAUCAUAAAGAGAAGCAUAAAAAAGCAUCAAUAGCUACAAUCAGAACAAAAGCACAACGAAUUGGGCAUAAAUUAAUCAAAUUUGAUGCACAAAAGCAGCGAAUCAACCAAUCCCUAGAAAAUCCCGAUACGAGCAGGAUCCAAAUCGAAAGAAAGAGAUGAAAAGAUGAAGCCCUAACCUCUCGGAGCACCAAGCAGCCCGGAUCGGAAGGCGAUGAGGGGAUUCGAGAGGUCGCGCGAGCUCGAAUCGUCCACGGAGAAAGGGGGCGGGUCGGAAGCGUUGAUGGGGUUGCGGGAGACGAGGACGGAGGAGGCGGUGCUCGGGCGCCAUGCGAGGGCGGAGGCGAGCCUUCUCCCUGCGACCCUCAACAUCGUCGUCCACCUCUUCUUCCCCCUCUUCCUCUUCUUCUUCUUCUUCUUCUUCGAGGAGAGCAAUGGCGAGGGGGGAUCCGAUUUCUAGGGUUUCGAUCGAGAUCGAGGUGGGGAGAGAGAGAGAGAGGAGAGAGAGAGCGAGGGGGUAAUGCGACGGAAAAUGGGGCACAAAAUUGGUGGGGACAUCCCGCAACGAGGGAGAUAUCCCAUCACCCGUCGAUCACUCGGCGGGCGCGAAUUUUAAAGCUUGAUGAACGGCCGAUGGAGUGGUCUCACGCUGAGGCAAAUCCCCACCAAAUAUUUUGGGGAAAAGGCGGUGGGGUGGAGUUGUUAAUGGGCCGAUCCACGUCACAAUUGGGCUUAUAUUUAAGAUGUAGGAGACAUUCAAACAAACAGGCCCAAUAAGAUUUUCUUUUUUUUUUUUUAAUAUAUAUUUGAAACAUUGUGAACUGGAAAAAAAAAAAAGAAAAAAGAAAAAAAAAAUUUAGGCUAUGUUUGGAAUUGCAAGAAGAAUACAUUGUGUAUCGUGAAAAAGUGCAAUGUAAAAAUAUUUCGUUUGCUUCUGUUAAAGAUAUCACAUUGUGUAAAUCUCGUUGAUUUAAUUACGUUAUAAUUUUUACAAUCUCAGCGAACAAACGGAGGAGCAUAUCUCUCUACAUAAUCUUAAAAAACUAAUUACUUUUUCAGUCCAAAUUCUACACUCGUCUACUUCCACCCGCUGAAAAUGAGCAAUUAUGCAAAGCCAAGAUGGGCCGAGUCGGGCCUCGGAUGAUGCACAUCUAGUUGUUGAUUUCUCAGGCUUUGGACUCACUCGGGCCGGAUUGAGGCCGAAUUCGACCCGACUCUACUAACACCUAGAAACUUCUUUCUCUCUCUUACUGUAUAAUAAAAUUGUUAUCUUUCUCCACAAGCUCAGAUGUGUGUUAACACAUUAGAUAGAUCUCAGACGCGGACUUGAAUUUCAAUGAAAGAAAAAGAAAAACACUAAAUAAGGCAAGUAAUUGUGAAAGCUUUUUCCUAUAGCAGAUUCAGACGUUUCGAGAGAUGAGUUCGUAGCUUCUGCUGUUUCAUUCUAAUAAUACUAUUUUUGUUGGCUUAAAUAGACCAAUAUUCUGCCAUGUGGCAGGAGGUCAUAUUGGGCUGAAUCAUGUUUGAAAUGGUGUGAGGCUAGGUGGGCCUAGUCAUGUUCGAAGUGGCGCGAGGCUGAUUGGGCCGAGUCACAAUCAAGACCCAUGAGCACUGUUUCUGUACACUUUAAGUGAAUUGGUUGCGUAUUUCUAACAACUCGAGCUUUUGGAAUUAAUGGUUAGCGCCAAUGAUACACAAGUGAUAUCAAAACAAGAGGUCAUGGGUUCGAUUUCCGCAUGCUACGAAUGUGUCCAGAUGCUAGAGGGGAGAUUGUGCAUACUACCAUAUGGCGGGAGGUCAUGUUGGGCCGAUUGGGUCGAAACCCAUGGGCGCUGUAUCUAUACGCUUUAAGUGAAGUAGUUUCGUAUUUCUAACAGCUUGAAUUUUUGAGAUUAAUGAUUAGCGUCAACGAUCGGACAGUUAUGACUUAUGAUUUCAUACUAUGAUUGAAAAUUAAAAUUUUUUAUCUCUCAAAAAAGAAAAAUUAAAAUUUUUUAUUUAUCAAAUGCUCGCACGAUUUAUUUAAUGAAUCAAAUGGAAUCAUUUGUCACUUAUGCAACUUUCGAAAAUGUGGAGCAUGAGAUAAUGGGAGUGGUACACUGCUAUAUCACUGUAUAGAUGAGGAAGCACUAUCCACAUUUGUGAUCACAUUUUUGUUGUGGUGUGAAGUACCAAAUAUAUAAUUGGAAUUCUCUCUCCUCUCUCUCUCAAAAUAAAAAUAAAAAAUAAAAAAUAAAAAAUAAAAAAAUAAAAAAUAAAAAAGUGAUAGGUUCAAAGGAUUUGAACACUUUUUCAUACUUUUUCAGUUGAGUCGACGGUGCCUAACACUGACACAUUCUCAUAUGCCAUGCUUCUCUCUUCAUGUGUGUACUAUAAUAAUAAUAAAAUAAUAAUAAUAUAAUAAUAAUAAUAAUAAUAAUAAUAAUAAUAAUAAAAGGAUUAAUGGGUAGUCAUUAUUCAAUAAAUUUUUACUAGAGUUUGUGGAAUGAUUUAUUUGGACUUUUUUGUCGAGCAAAUUUACUAAUUAAACAGCUGUACGUACCGGUGACAAAUCUUAGAAACUAACUUUUUUUUGUUUUUAUGAAUAAAAAUAAAGUAUAAGAAUUGAAGAAUACAAAGUAUAUAGGAAAAACUUCAAAAACCACCCCUGUAAUUUUAUACUUUUUUAUUUUAGUACUUAUAAUUUAAAGUGUAUCAAGUUAGUACCAUGUGGUUUCCACUUUACACUUCAGUACCCUGUGAUUUAAAGUGUAUCAAAUUAGUAUCAUGUGGUUUUAUUUUUGUAUCAAGUUAGUACCCUGUGAUUUUUAAACCAUAGGGUACUAAAGUGAUAAAGUGUGAAACCACAGGGUACUAACUUGAUACACUUUAAACCACAGGGCACUAAAAUGAAAAAGUGCAAAACCACAGAAUACUAACUUGAUACACUUUAAAUCAUAUGGUACUGAAGUGAGAAAAAGUUAAACCACAAGGGGGAAUUUGAAGUUUUCCCAAAAAUAUAUGUGAGAAGAUAUAUUUAAUGUGCUUUUAGGCCUCUUUUGUCGAGCAAAUUUACUAAUUAACAGCUGUACAUGCUGGUGACAUAUCUUACAAAUUUAUUUUUUUUUGUUUUUAUGAAUAAAAAUAAAGUAUAAAAAUUGAAGAAUACAAAGAAUACAAAGAAUAUACUUGAAAAGAUAUAUUUAAUGUGCUCUUAGGCUCCAUGAUAUUUUCAUUAGUAAGUUCGCUUGCAGUGAAAGCUGAGUUAAUGAACUAUUUGAUAAUAUUUAAGAGAUCUAAUUGUCAAAAUUAAAAGUUUAUAAAUUUAUUUAUAGAAUCUCCAGAGUUCAGAAAAUAUCCUCACAUUUUUCUUAAAUAAGAAUAAUAAAAACAACAGUUAAAAACAUGGACAAAGGGGGAAAAAAAAAAAAGGACAAAUUCAACCCCUAAUCCAAUUAACAUUUUGAAAAUUCAAACAGGAGCAAUCCACUUUGUUUUUAUCUUUAGUAAGAUGCUCUGAUUCAUGUGACAGUACUGAUUGGUUGGCACGUCGAUACAACAAUAUUUUGCAGGCCUGUUUGGCUUGACUUCUGUAGUUGAUACGAAUCAUAGAAGAUAGGCCAAAGGAAAAUGUUUGGCUCGACAGUCGACAUAGAGCAUUGCUGUGCAGUGGGCUAGCCUGUUACACAGUAGGGCCAAAUUAACAGUUCUUAUUUGCUAGAUCUAUAUAUUUAGAGAGAGAGAGAGAGAGAGAGAUAGGCUCUUGUGCUUUCGAAAGUAUGAAAGGCCUCUGUAUUUAUAAGUCAUUUUUUAUGAUAGGACAUUCGGUUCGGCGAUCGAUUUCGUUAGACAUUCGGUUAGGCUAUUGGAACUAUCCAGAAACCAAAUUUCAUAGUUUUUACUUCAUUUAUCUAGUGAACGAUCAAAUAGUUUCAAAAUGAACAGCUGAAAAUAAAAAUCUCAUAAAAAAUAGUAAUAAAAGACUCAAAUUUCAAAUUAGAAGUAUUGAUCUUACUAAUUGAUGUUAAUUAAAUAGAAUUUUUUAUUAAAGUUUCAUGUAAUUUAAUUUUUUCUACACCGUUGAACUGAAAAACAUGCUAUAUCGACCGUUAAAAUAGUCAUUUUUGACACCUUUUAAUCACUUAAUAAAUGAUGUCGAAAAAUUAUGAAAUUUGAUUUUUAAAUAGUUUCAAUAACGUAGAUUAUGUUUAACGAACCCGAUUAUCGAAUCAGAUGCCCUAUUAUCGAAAAUAACUUAUAAGUACGGAGACCUUCAUAUUUAUAUAUAUAUUACGAGCUAUUUUACUCAAGCUUUUGAGUUUGGAAUCUUCAGAAAGAUGGAGAUGGGGUAGGCCCCAUGCAAACUUGAAUUUCACAUCAGAUAAAAACAUGCAUGCAUUAUAUAUAUUGCUUUUGUUUUUUUAGGAGAUUAUAUAUAUUGCAUACUUAGGACUGAGAAAAUGAAACUAAGGCAAAAGUUCAUGAAAAUAACACAAACUUUGGAUCAUUCGAUAACCAUCAUUCAACUUUUAAAAAUUCUGAUUCUGUUACCUAACUUUUUAACUCUUAUUAGGUUUCAGCAUCGUGCGAAAUUAUUGUUCGCACUAUUUCAUUCUCAAUAAGUAGAAAAAAAUGAUAGUAGAUAAUGUUGCUUCAAAUUGGAUAAAAUUUUCUAAUUUAAUUAAAUAAGAUCACUCACUUGCAAAACAUACACUGUUAAGUGGAUGUGAAACACUAUUUUUGGUACAAAUUGAUCAGCCUCUGAUAAGGACUAGCUAGUACAAUAAUCAAUUCCCACCUCUUUAUAUGUAGCCACCAAUUAUUUUACCACAGUAAUUAAUAAAUAUAUUUAAUUCCAAAGUUAAAUAUAGAUUAAAUCUUAAUUAAUUAAUUAAUUAAUUAAUAUAUAUAUAAGGAAUUUGCCAUAUUAUAACAGUGAUAUAUAUAUAUAUAUAUAUAUAUAUAUAUAUAUAUAUAUAUAUAUUUUAUCAAACAAUAUCAUAUCCUACGGAUAAGAGGGUCAAUAAGCCUUAUAUAUGUAGAGUUUUGUUCAAACAAAAACUCUAAUUUAAUAACUAUUUAUUAUUAUUUAUUUAUUUCCAAAACAAAUAACUUAAAUGCCGUGUCAUAGACCACGUACGAGUUAGUAUGUAGGAUGUGUAAACGUGUCAUGUGACAAGAGGGACAAAUAUAUAUAUAUAUAUAUAUAUAUAUAGAGAGAGAGAGAGAGAGAGUUGGAUUGAGCUACUAUUAGUAGCAAAAUCUCAAUAUUACUACCAGUUUUUUAGCCUUUGGAUCAACUCUUUUCGUUAUUUCUAACCAUUGGAUUAAAUACUAUAACCCAGUGGGGACCACUCAACCCUAGGGGAACCACUCAACUCUAACCGACUAAUAUCAUCCCGACCUUACAAUUUUUCAUCUAAGGGUUAAAAACUUGAUAGCAAAAAGAACGUUUUACAUUAAUAGUUCCAGCUAAUUAUCUAUUAUAAUAUAUAUAUAUUUAUAUAAUAUAAUAUUAUAUAUAUAUAUAUAUAUAAUAAAUAAUAUAUAGGGUAGGCUGUAUACUAUCAGUAGCACGGAGGCUUCCGUGCUACCAAGUUGUUUUCAAUGAUACGGCUUCCAAAUCGACGAUCGGCUCUGUUAGACUUGAUCUAUACUAUUACAAGUAUUUGGAAACUAAAUUUUAUAAUUUUUCGAAAUCAUUUGGUUAGUGAUCAAAAUGUUUCAAAAUUGAUAAUUUUAAUGGUAGAUGUGAUGCGCUUGUGAAUUUAACGGUGUAAACAAUCCAAAAAUGAUAAAAUUUUUAUAGAGAUUUUUUUUUACUAUUUAGUAUAAGAUCAGUACCUUGGAUCUUAAAUUAAAGUCUUUUAUCAUUAUUUUUUAUGAAAUUUUUAUUUUCAGCCAUUUAUUUUUAGACUACUCGUUUGAUAGAUUAAUGAUGCCGAAAAAUUAUAAAUUUAGCUUCCAAAUACUUUCAAUAGUGUAGAUUAAGUCUAACGGAGCCGAUCGUCGAUUUAGAAGCCGCAUCAUUGAAAACAACUUGGUAGCAUGGAAGCCUCCGUGCUACUGAUAGUAUAUCAGCCUAGCUCGCUCUCUCUCUCUCUCUCUCUCUCUCUCUAUAUAUAUAUAUAUAUAAUGAGAAGAAGCUUUGGAUAUAUAUUAGGGGAUGCUGCGAAUAAUUGCACGAAGAUUAAAGCAAGCGAACCUCCGAGAAGUUUGAUAGAGCUUCUAACUUUUAACGGAAAAAAAAAAAAAAAGCAGCCAAGAGAUAUUGCUGAUUAUUAUAAUCGCUUGCAAAAUUAUUCCGCGCACCCGGUGCAUCUGUACAUCUGUGCACCGUCCCUGCUAUCCUAAUCUCAUCAUAUUUGAUAGAUCAGGUUUGGAGGCUUUUGAUCGAAUUGCGUUACGCACAGUGAUAAAAUACAAUAAAAAAAGGGUAAGCUUUAAAUACCCCCUCGUGGUUUCACACUAUCUCACUUUAGUACCAUGUAGUUUAAAGUGUAUCAAUUUAAUACCCUGUGGUUUCGCACUUUUUCAUUUUAGUAUUCUGUGGUUUAAAGUGUAUCAAGUUAGUAUCAUGUGGUUUUAUUUUUCUCUUUUUAUUAUCCAUUUCACUAAUUUUUUUUAUUAAACUUAAUGAGUACUAAAAUGAAUAUUCAAUAAACCUAGAUAGGGUAUCUGAAGUUUUUUGUAUAUAAUUAGCGAAAUAUUAACGGAGAAAAUAAAACUCAGUGACAAAAUUAAAAACUAAAGGGUACUAAAGUGAAUAUUCAAUAAACUUACAUGGGGUAUCUAAAGUUUUUUUGAUAUAAUUUAACGAAACAUUAACAGAGGAGCCGACGAAAAGAGAAAUACAAAAUUAUAAGAUUUUAGGUUUAAGAUUCUAUGU
rnacentral:lncRNA from 1 species